rnacentral:rRNA from 1 species
UGGGGAAUAUUGGACAAUGGGCGAAAGCCUGAUCCAGCCAUGCCGCGUGUGUGAAGAAGGUCUUCGGAUUGUAAAGCACUUUAAGUUGGGAGGAAGGGCAGUAAGCGAAUACCUUGCUGUUUUGACGUUACCGACAGAAUAAGCACCGGCUAACUCUGUGCCAGCAGCCGCGGUAAUACAGAGGGUGCAAGCGUUAAUCGGAAUUACUGGGCGUAAAGCGCGCGUAGGUGGUUCGUUAAGUUGAAUGUGAAAGCCUCGGGCUCAACCUGGGAACUGCAUCCAAAACUGGCGAGCUAGAGUAGGGCAGAGGGUGGUGGAAUUUCCUGUGUAGCGGUGAAAUGCGUAGAUAUAGGAAGGAACACCAGUGGCGAAGGCGACCACCUGGGCUCAUACUGACACUGAGGUGCGAAAGCGUGGGGAGCAAACAGG